GAUUCACAGGAUCAGGUUUGGUUUUCACCAAUACCAGGACGGUUUAGCUUCAGGAAGUGAUUCAGAUUUCAGUUUUAUUGAUGUUCAGUUUGGCCUGAAUUCCUGCUCCGGUUUGUUUAGGUGAAGUUUCCUGUCGUGUUUAUUUGGUGCAGAGAGAACAUGAAGCCAGCAGAUCCUCCACAGUCGGCUUCAUCACAGCCAUCAGGGAGGAGGAGGGAAAUAUCGCAGCUGCUUUCUGCCGGGCUGUAACAGAGACCUGCAUUUACUCCAGCAUCUCACACCAGCUCCAUAAAUUACCCCCAUCACCGUAAUGAUCACUGCUGCCGCGCCAGACAGACCUUCAGCGCCUGCAGCAUCAGCGGUUAAUGGCUCCAAACCGCUCAGCCCACCUGUGGCUCUGAUCCACGACACCAACAAGUGGGUUGUUGAUGCUUCACAGAGCCGGCUGGAUUUCACCUGGAGCGGGAAGCGAUAUCACUGCCUCUGAGCGGGGGGCUAACGCUAACACUGCUACACUUUAUCUUUAAUGUCAGCUGAAGAGCCUGAGCCUCCGUGUUAAUGGAGACAGCUGCUGCUGAGGCUCACAGGAGCUCCAGCUUUACCAAACAAGAUAAAUACACAGCCUGAGUUAGCAUGCUAAAUGCUAAUCAAGGAACGAUCCGGCGGGUUUGUGUUCUGGACAGCUGAGCACGGUGGUGGAGGAGUGAUGACUGAGGAGGCUGAGCUGUACCUGCAUGCACAGCCCUGCAUACUGUGUGUAAUUUAAUCCAGAUUUUACACAAAACAGCAGCAAAUACAGCUGAUUUAAGAACAAACUGAAACUAAAGACGGAUUUUAGAAGAAUUUAAUUCAUGUUUGGACUUUGAGAAAUUUUCUUCAUUUUCAUGUAGAAAACAUCAAACUCCAAUAAAAUCAUGUUGCCACCAGUGCAGAGCUUCAUAAACAAUGGCAGCAGGUGAAGAAAGGGAAGUAAAGAAACCACUUCAGUCCAAGGAAACCAUUGAGUGGAAGAGAAAAACCUGGACGGAGAGCCUGGUGGCGUCGUUUCUCCUGACUGUUUCCAGCAGCAAAGGAUCAAAAAUGUUUCCAAACAGCAACUUUUCUGAAACAGCUCCACUGAAAACCCAGAGAAAAGUUCUCAGAAAUGAACAAACUGAUCGACUCUUAAGCACUAGAAAUGUGUCGGCCUUCCAGGAUUUGGUCCCAGAGUUAACAUCCAGCAUGAGGAAGAAUAAACUCCAGACUUCUGCUCUUCUAUCUUCACCCUGACGUUUUCCUGCAGAUCUCUGCAGUCAGAAGUGGCUCAGCCUCUCCACUCCCAGCAGAAUGAAUCCUCAGCUUCUUUAGCUGUUUAUCACUCCGACCUGAGGAGGAGGGAGCCUCCAGCUCUCACUGGCUAUCGGGUGACACCUGAGCAGAAGCUUAUCCCGGUCCGGUUCCUGCAGAUCUGUGGAGGGAGGAGAAAAACCGAAAAGGUUACAGCCGGGAACCCGACACCAGAGGAAGAACCCCGGAGCCGGAAACACCAUGAUGGACCUGGACGUCAGUCACACAAAGUUCAAGAGAAACUUUGAUCCUAAACGUUUAAUGAAGAUCCAGGUUGCCAUAGCAACACCAUGGAUUCAACGGCGUUCAUUAGCGCUUAAUGAGAAAAGAGGUUUUCACUGUUCGCUUUAAAGGGACUCUGUAGAUGUAACUUUAUUUAUGUUACACUUUUUACAGAUGGAUUUACAUCAUUUGGAUUAAAAUAUAAAGAACAAAAAACUCCACAAACCAGCAGUUAUCUUCUGUUUUGAUGUCAUGAAAUAUUAAAUAAUUAGCAAUGAUGCCUAAUGCAGCUUCAAAAUCAUUCUGCACAAAUAAAUAAAAGCUUUAAAAGUUAAA